AUGUCAUGGCUAAUUAAGUGUUAUUAUUUCUGGUCAAUUUUAUGGUCACAAUUCAGCAUAUCGAAACAAAGCUGACUUUCUUGAAUGCAGAUCUGGUCACUCUCUAAGCUUAAAGGAGUUCACACACACACAGGUGCAGGUCACAAAAAGCUGCCAUAGACAAUUGCACUAUAGAGAGGAAAAAAGAGAAAAGCGGAGCAAAAGUCAAAAGUAGAGUAAAUUUGUUGCGGCACAAUGGGGCACGUGUCGCAAGCAGCAGCAAGUGGAGCUGAAAGGAGGCGACAACAGUGUGCGGUUAGCUGGCUUUAGCUUCUCUUCUUGUGUCAAAAGGGGAGCAACACUAAAGGUGGCAAUGACAUACACACUAAUAUAUACAUUCAUACAUACACGCAUACAUAUGCAAGCAAUGCUCAAGCAAGAAGGAAAGAGAAGAAGAAACAGGUAGGCACAAGUUGAGUGCACUCACAAAUACAUAUGCAGACGAAGAAGCAAUCGAAAUGCAUUUGAAUUGAGCAGCGAACAGCAUGCGCUGAUUGCUGCCUAUGUGUGAGUGUAUGUGUGGAUGAGAUGUACAGUGGAUCAAAGCUUAUUUAAUCAAAUUUAAAGUAUUAUGCUCGCCAAACUAUGAGAGCUAUUAAAAUAAUUUAAAUGAAAGCUUUUAAUGCAUUGUUUAAACUUAAAAUAUCACACUUCAUUUAUUUUUGAACAUUUUUUAAAUAUGCUGGUAUCCACUGUAAGUGCAAAAAAGGUAGUCAAAUAAAAAGGGCACAACCAAAAAAAAAAAUAUAUAUAUAUGUAUGUACAUACAUUUACAUAUACAUAUGUAUACAUGUGCAUGCAUAUACAUAUAUAAAAAGGGCAGAGCACUUGCCACACAAAACGAUUUACACGACACUAAAGCUAAAAACAGGCGCACGCCACUAUAAAAAAGAAAGGAAAGAGGAGCGAGCUGAGGUGAGAGAACGACGUCAUGACUGAGAACAGCAGCUACAACAAAAACAACGACACAAAUAAGAAGAGGAGGCGCGUUAAGGCAGCGCCAGGUACUUUUUUACGGGGCUACUGUUCAAAUUUGCAUAUGCUUUAAAUAUUUAAUGUAAUUCAAAAAAGAGAGGAGACAAGUAUCACAACCCAAGGCAGCUUCACUUUCAGCUCCAACAAGAACACCAACAACAACGCACAAUGUGCCAAUUGGACAAACGGCGGCGCGCAGCUGUAUAAUUCAAUUGUUUUUUUUUUUAUAAACGGACUGCUGGUCAGAAAAACGCAAGCAAGGCGAUAUAUACAACACAAAUACAAAUUCUCAGCCAAAUGAAAAAAAAAACGUUCGCGCAUUUGGCGAAAAAAUCAAUUUUCCGUGUGAUUGCCAAAUGCAAUUGCUGCCUGCCCUGUGUGACUAACAACACACCAAGCCGCCACAUAGAAUGGGGCGCAACAACACACACACACACACACAUGACAAAGAAAAGAAAAAUAAUAUAGCAGAAAACUUCUUAUUGGGUGGCCCUGGGACAGACACGAGUUUACGCCAGCCCUGGCUUACAGCUGGCUUUCGACUUACGCAGCGUUUUGUGGCCUUUUUUUAACGUAAGUUUCACUGUUAAUUAUUGACAUAACAAAUGCGGCGCCUAGAACAAGAACACGAGCUGAUGACGGCAACAACACCAGAGGCUCCAAUCAGGACUCACACACACGUUCGCACGCGGAGAAAAGUCGGAGAAUGAGCGAGAGAAAGGCACACGCGAAAUUGCUCACAUUAACUUGUCGAAGUAAAUGGGCAGUCAAAAAGCAAAUAAAGAAUAUGAAACUAGCUUUUAAUUUCAAAAAAAAAAAUUCUCGUCCUUUUUUGUUUUGUGUGCAAUAUUCCAUUCUCUACGUGGUAGCCAAAUGAAAUGAAUGAAACUGGUUGCCGCACUCUUUCCUCCUCUUGUAGCUGUCGGUCGGCACAGUAGGCUACGCAUACACGCACGAUAAAAAUCGCACACACUCCCACGCAAAAACGAAGCACAGCACAAAUCACAUGUUUCAGACUUUCACUCAUACAGGGUGCGUUCAGAAGUUUCAGGACGACAGGACCUUACUCAUUUGUAUAUGCUUUUAGCAGUCAGUUUAGCCAAAUCAUAUUGAGUGUGGCAAACGUUUCGUGGCCAAAUGAACAACAGUCUGAAUUGGACAGGCAAAGCAGUCAGACGACGUCGUCUCCAAGGGCGCUGGGUGAAUUUUGUUUAAUCGGCGACUCAUAUUGAAAGUAAAAUGGACGACAAUGGGAUUCCUUAUGCCAUGGAUCCCAAGGAAGCGUGGCUGGAAAAGAUAACAUUCGGUGGAUUUCGUCGCUGGCAUAUUAUAGCCGCAGUGCUGGGCAUACUGAUGAGUAUUAUGAUUAUGGUCUGUUGCUGCAUAAGAUUUCGUAUACCACGCACCAAACAGGAAAUCGAAGCGGAUUAUCAACGCAAACAGAUCACCAAAAAGUUUCGCGAGAAACUGCAACAGAUUAAAAAUUCCGAAAUGGAUGACAUGGAUCUGCAAAAAGCACUUGCUUAUAUCAAAUUGGAACAAUAUGAUGAUCCCUAAGUGCUCUGUAAAUUUCCAUAUGCAACCAUCACCACAAUCAAAAACAAGCACAACGGAAUUCUAUAUCUUUAAACGUACAAAAUUACUUCUAAACUAAACUACACAAUUGACACUGCCAAUUUUGCGUGCGCAUACAAAGCGAUUACCUGAAUUUGCAGGCAAGCAGAGAGAGCAUGAACGAGAAGCAGAAUGUUAAAUUUAAGAUCUAAUAAACUACUUAAAAAAUAAUAAUUAUAAUAAUAAAAGUCGGCAAACAAU